rnacentral:rRNA from 1 species
GACGAACGCUGGCGGCGUGCUUAACACAUGCAAGUCGAACGGUAAGGCCCUUUCGGGGGUCCACGAGUGGCGAACGGGUGAGUAGCACGUGGGUGAUCUGCCCUGCACUUUGGGAUAAGCCUGGGAAACUGGGUCUAAUACCGGAUAGGACUACGCGAUGCAUGUCGUGUGGUGGAAAGCUUUUGCGGUGUGGGAUGGGCCCGCGGCCUAUCAGCUUGUUGGUGGGGUGAUGGCCUACCAAGGCGACGACGGGUAGCCGGCCUGAGAGGGUGUCCGGCCACACUGGGACUGAGAUACGGCCCAGACUCCUACGGGAGGCAGCAGUGGGGAAUAUUGCACAAUGGGCGCAAGCCUGAUGCAGCGACGCCGCGUGGGGGAUGACGGCCUUCGGGUUGUAAACCCCUUUCAGCACAGACGAAGCGUAAGUGACGGUAUGUGCAGAAGAAGCACCGGCCAACUACGUG